UUACAGCAGGUGCGCCGUUAACAACGGUUUCCUCAGACCCCUACGUGGAGAGCAUCGCCGAAAGCCUUCAGGCGGCGCUGCAGACGUUCAGCAGCACGCUCAACGGCACGUGUAACCUGAGUGGUGUGCCAGCCUGGAUCUGCACUGAGACCCAUGCUGAGCCAAACCAGAGAUCAGAGGCGGCCGACAAGCUGUUGCAGCAUCAGAAGUGUGCGGAGCAGCUCAUAUCCUUCUGUCCUGCAGUCAGAGGCCCCCUGUGUGAUGCCAUCACGCUGAACAACGACCUGCGGCAACACCUGACGGGGUCAUACCUGGGUCCGGCACAGUGUCCCUCCGACUCGACUACGAUAGUAGAGUACAACCAGAUCCAGACCUCCAUCAGCUGUGCUCAGUGCUGGAGGCAGCAGGUGGACGCCCU